rfam:Niabella soli DSM 19437, complete genome.
UUGCCGCCGGCAGGUCUUAUACGGCCAGCUCCUACCGAAUCUCCCCAGGGUCGGAAGACAGCAAGGAUAGGUGGUUGUAGCGGCGCGAUGUGAGUAGCCUGCCUUUUU